UUGAUCCUGGCUCAGAACGAACGUUGGCGGCGUGGAUUAGGCAUGCAAGUCGAGGGAAUCUCCCGCAAGGGAGGGAACCGGCGUAAGGGGCAGUAAGGCAUGGGUAACCUACCCCGAGGUCCGGGAUAGCCAUCAGAAAUGGUGGGUAAUACCGGAUGAACUCGUGAGAGCAAAGGUCCGCCGCCUCGGGAGGGGCCCAUGUGGUAUUAGCUAGUUGGUAGGGUAAUGGCCUACCAAGGCGAAGAUGCCUAGCGGGUGUGAGAGCACGACCUGCGCCACUGGCACUGAGACACUGGCCAGACACCUACGGGUGGCUGCAGUCGAGAAUCUUCGGCAAUGGGCGCAAGCCUGACCGAGCGACGCCGCGCGCGCGAUGAAGGCCUUCGGGUUGUAAAGCGCUGUCGAGGGGAGGAAAAGCCCCACAAGGGCUUGAUCGGCCCCUGGAGGAAGCACGGGCUAAGUUCGUGCCAGCAGCCGCGGUAAGACGAACCGUGCGAACGUUGUUCGGAAUCACUGGGCUUAAAGGGUGCGUAGGCGGGUUGUCCAGUCUGGGGUGAAAUCCCACGGCUCAACCGUGGAACUGCCUCAGAUACUGACGACCUCGAGGGAGGUAGGGGCGAGCGGAACUGUGGGUGGAGCGGUGAAAUGCGUUGAUAUCCACAGGAACUCCGGUGGCGAAGGCGGCUCGCUGGACCUCUGCUGACGCUGAGGCACGAAAGCUAGGGGAGCAAACGGGAUUAGAUACCCCGGUAGUCCUAGCCCUAAACGAUGGGUACUAGGUAGUAGGCUAGACAUGGGCUUACUGCCGUAGCAAAAGUGCUAAGUACCCCGCCUGGGGAGUAUGGCCGCAAGGCUGAAACUCAAAGGAAUUGACGGGGGCUCACACAAGCGGUGGAGCAUGUGGCUUAAUUCGAGGCUACGCGAAGAACCUUAUCCUGGGCUUGACAUGUGCGAAAGCGCCGGGAAGUAGGACCCGGAAACGGGAACGAACGGUACCCAGCCCGGAACCCGGCACAGGUGCUGCAUGGCUGUCGUCAGCUCGUGUCGUGAGAUGUCGGGUUAAGUCCCAUAACGAGCGAAACCCUUACCUUCAGUUGCUA
rnacentral:rRNA from 1 species